GACGAACGCUGGCGGCGUGCUUAACACAUGCAAGUCGAACGAAGAGCGAUGGAAGCUUGCUUCUAUCACUCUUAGUGGCGAACGGGUGAGUAACGCGUAAUCAACCUGCCCUUCAGAGGGGAACAACAGUUGGAAACGACUGCUAAUACCGCAUACGAUCUAACCUCGGCAUCGAGGAAAGAUGAAAGGUGGCCUCUAUGUAUAAGCUAUCACUGAAGGAGGGGAUUGCGUCUGAUUAGCUAGUUGGAGGGGUAACGGCCCACCAAGGCGAUGAUCAGUAGCCGGUCUGAGAGGAUGAACGGCCACAUUGGGACUGAGACACGGCCCAGACUCCUACGGGAGGCAGCAGUGGGGAAUCUUCCGCAAUGGACGAAAGUCUGACGGAGCAACGCCGCGUGAGUGAUGACGGCCUUUGGGUUGUAAAGCUCUGUUAAUCGGGACGAAAGGCCUUCUUGCGAAUAGUGAGAAGGAUUGACGGUACCGGAAUAGAAAGCCACGGCUAACUACGUG
rnacentral:rRNA from 1 species